rnacentral:lncRNA from 1 species
UCCACUCCCUGUGUUAGAGACUUGUCCAGCUGUGGCCAUACGCCACUUGUUGGAUCUCUUGUACAAAAUGAUUUGCCUUAAAGAUGAGCCACUGCCUCCUUACGAGGCCUACAGCAGAAUGUCAAUCGACGAGAUGGCCACUGUUGCCUGGGAUCAGUUGAAAAAUGAUGGUUCUGGCAUCUUUGCUCCUAUAAUAAGCUCCGUGGACCGAAUCAUAACUGUGUCUAAAAGACUUGGGAUUUCGACGUACCUAAGGAAGGUUUUCGAAGAAGAUGAAGCUUUCAGUCCCACAGCGACGCAGCUCCGACGUGUUGGUGUGGAAUUCUGCAUCACAAGAGGCGGUAUCAGGAAUAUUAGUUUCGAUCAGGAUGACAAAAGCUUUAAGUUUAACCUUCCAGUAUUUACUUGGAAGCCGAAUUGUGAAGUGGUAAUGAGAAACCUGCUGGCAUACGAAGCCAUGGCAAAGUCAGAGCCCCCGAUUCUUACUCGUUACACCCAAUUGAUGAGUGGGAUUGUACGCACUGUAGAGGACGUGAAAUUGCUCAAAGACAAGAAGAUCAUUGUUACUGUAGAUGAACAACA